ensembl:snoRNA SNORD34 Small nucleolar RNA SNORD34
UUAUGUCGGUGAUGCUGCUAUUAUACCUACAUUGUUUGAAUGCAAGUGAGAAAACAUUAAAUAUCUGAGACAUAU